rnacentral:rRNA from 1 species
UACAGAGGGCGCGAGCGUUGUCCGGAAUCACUGGGCGUAAAGAGCGUGUAGGCGGCCCGGUAAGUCCGCUGUGGAAAGUCGGGGGCUCAACCCUCGAAUGCCGGUGGAUACUGUCGGGCUAGAGUGCGGAAGAGGCGAGUGGAAUUCCUGGUGUAGCGGUGAAAUGCGCAGAUAUCAGGAGGAACACCGGUGGCGAAGGCGGGUCUCUGGGCAGUGACUGACGCUGAGGAGCGAAAGCGUGGGGGAGCGAACAGG